rnacentral:rRNA from 1 species
GACGAACGCUGGCGGCACGCUUAACACAUGCAAGUCGAACGGAUCAAUAUUUCGGUAUUGGUGAGUGGCGAACGGGUGAGUAACGCGUAGGAACCUACCUUAAAGACGGGGAUAACGAUCGGAAACGAUCGCUAAGACCCGAUGUGCUCUUUGGAGGAAAAGGGAAACCUGCUUUAAGAGGGGCCUGCGUUUGAUUAGGUAGUUGGUGGGGUAAGGGCCUACCAAGCCGAUGAUCGAUAGCUGGUUUGAGAGGACGGACAGCCACACUGGGACUGAGACACGGUCCAGACUCCUACGGGAGGCAGCAGUGGGGAAUAUUGCACAAUGGGCGAAAGCCUGAUGCAGCCAUGCCGCGUGUGUGAAGAAGGCUCUAGGGUUGUAAAAGCACUUUCAGUAGGGAGGAAAAGUCGAUAGUUAAUACCUAUCGGCCGUGACGUUACCUACAGAAGAAGCACCGGCUAACUACGUG